rnacentral:lncRNA from 1 species
AUGACGGCAGCACUUUCGUGGGCUGGAAGGAGUCGGAGCUUUUGCGUCUGGACCUGUCACGAGUUUGUUCCAAUUUCCUGUCCAACAGAGUUAUGGCAUCUCAGCUCCUUCAUGGUUAUAACUGAAGAAGACACUGGUUUUCACCUGUUCUCAAUUUCAGAAAGAGAAGUUGCUUUUCUUCUAGAAUGUUUAGGAAGUAUGGUCAAGUUAGACUUGAUUUAUCUUGCAAAUGUUACUCUAGAUCAGGCAGAGGAUUUGAAUAUGGAAACAGAUUUAUGAUUUGGGGAGUGUGAGCUUGGUGCUGGUUAUUCCACUGGAGGAGUGAGAAGUCUUGAUGUGAGAACUAGGGAGUGGGUUAAAAGGGAAGACACUGAAUGGAAUGGGAAGGCGUAGAUGAGAGAAAGGAAAAAGGAAUUGUUUACAACCCAGAAUUAAAACAAGGUAGUGGCUUAAAAAUUACAUUUGAUUUGUAUGAAAUUUUAUACCAUCAAAUCUAUUAGUCAACGGAACAUCAGUCUUUAUGCCAAGAAAGUUGAAAAUUUGGUUGUUUUUUUAAACAAGUUUUCUGAUGCCUUAAUACGUAUUUUCCAUGCUAGAGGGUAUUCAAGUAUACUGUUAACUAACUAUUCUUCUAAACAUGUAGAAAUAAUAAUAUCUGAAUGUGUAGGAGUGAGGGGUUAACUUACGUGGGACCUGGGUGUCUGUGGAGACCAUGCAGUGGGACAGCUGGAGCCCCACUUAUAACUACUCUCGUGUGUGGCUUUCCUGCUGAGAAAAAUGAACACAGGCUCUUUGCAAAACUUCAACAUGCUACUCUUCACAUAUCAUAGAAUCCGAGUUACUAUUAUCUCAGUCAGUAGGAAAUGUCUAGGGCACCUGGGAUGGGCUUCAUGGUUCCUAAAGCCACUUGUUCUUUAGGUCGUAGUGUGAAUGUGCUGAAACAGGGAUGCCCUUCCUGCAGCUGAAUCAUGAAACCUUAUUAGAAUUAUUUGAUAGAAUCAGAUUAUUUUGGCCCAAUUACAUGUGUAUAUUUUGUUUAGUUUUCCAUGGCAAUUUCAUGGUUAUUUCUUAAGAUAUUUGAAAACUUAAUCUUCCUCUACAUUCAUGCUCUUAAUAGCUCUGAUCUGGUAACCUCUUUAUUUUAGCCAGAAGAUGGAUAUUUCAAUAAUUUGAAAUGAGUUAAUGUGAGCCCAGAUCCCAAUCAGAUCCAAAAUUUUAAGUGCUCAUAAAAAUCUGAAACUCUGCAAUAACACUAAAUCCCCACAUGCAGAGGAAAACA